UCCUACAAAGACGUUGGGCCUCACAUCAGCAAAGCCCAAAGCUUCAGCUCCAGCCGCUACAAGACAAGGACCAGCAACGGUAACAACUCCAGUCAAGGCAAAACGUACGGUUGCUUCACCACAGCCGAUGCAGCUAAGGAACAGAUAUGAGAUACUUAUGGAUCAGGAUGGAUAGCUGUCAGCGACACCUGUCAGUAGUCUAGAUCGUUCCUUUACCUUGUAUAAAAGAGAGUAGAGUCAGAUUGUAAACACUCAAGUUAUCUUCAUGAAUAAACUUCAGUAUUAUCUUCAAUAAACACCUUUUCUAGCUUUUAUCUACAUGGUAUCAACGCCAUGGAAGGAGAUCCAGAUCCUGUUUCAGUUACGUCCCUCACGCUUACUCAUGUGGUCACCUUGAAGCUCAAAGAAGGAAACUAUUUGCUAUGGAAGCUUCAGUUCGAACAGUUUCUUUCCAGCCAGAUGCUUCUUGGGUAUGUCACCGGAGCUCAGCUACGUCCUCCACCAACAGUCUCCGUUCGAGAUGGAGAUCUGGUCACAGAAGCUGCGAACCCAGAGUUUCUCAGAUGGACGCAGAAAGAUCAGCUUAUUCUCGCCUGGAUCUAUGGUACGCUUACUGAAGAUGCUCUCAAAUCAGUCUAUGGCUUGCAUUCAUCUCAUGAGGUAUGGAUGGCUUUAGCUAAGAAGUACAAUAGAGUCUCCGCAACUAGGAAGUUUGAUUUACAAAGACGUGUUCAAACAAUGGUCAAGGGAAACAAGACAAUGGCUGUUUACUUGUCUGAAAUUAAGUCGCUUUGUGAUCAGUUAGACUCUAUUGGUGCUCCUAUCUCAGAACAGGAAAAGAUCUAUGGAGUUCUGAAUGGAUUAGGAAAAGAGUAUGAGGCAGUGGGUACAGUCAUCGAACACUCCAUGGAUGCUCAACCCCCACCCUGUUUUGAAGACGUUGUGUACAAGCUUACUGGUUUUGACGACAAGCUUAAAGCUUAUGAAGCUACGACUGAUGUGAACUCUCAUCAAGUGUUAUACACCAACAGAGGUGGUUACUCAGGUCGAGGACGAGGCCAGUACAGAGGAGGAUAUCGUGGCAGAGGAUCCUACUCAACUCAAGGAAGAGGUUUCCCUCAACAGUUUGGUCAAAGCGCUCAUCGUCAGAACGAUAAUCAACGUCCCGCAUGCCAGAUUUGUGGCAAAUAUGGCCAUCCUGCUUACAAAUGCUACAAGCGCUUUGAUCAACACUUUGCAGUCAAUGAGCCUCCACAAGCCAACAUGAUGAUGACAGCACCUGGCCAACACAAUGCGAGCUCUAUGGGAGCAGAGUGGUAUCCAGACAGCGGAGCUUCUCAUCAUGUCACCAACUCGGUUCAGCAUCUUGAUGUGGCACAUGAGUAUGAUGGCACUGAUCAAGUGAUAGUUGGUAAUGGGGACUUCCUUCCUAUCACUCGUAUGGGCUCUGCUUCGAUUCAAACUGCCUCAGGUACUUUACCACUGUCUGAAGUCUUGAUAUGUCCUGAUAUAACAAAGUCUUUGUUAUCAGUCUCUAAGCUUACUGAUGACUAUCCCUGUGAAUUUACGUUUGAUGCUACUAAUGUAUAUGUCAAGGACAAAGCAACAAGCAGGGUCCUCAGCCAGGGCAACAAAGUUAAAGGGCUAUAUAGAUUGGAUGUUCCUCAGUUUGUGGCGUUUUAUUCCUCAAGACAGCAGUUGGCGAGUGAUAGAGUCUAGCAUCUGAGGUUGGGGCAUCCAAAUGAUCAAGUUUUGAAGCAUCUUUCUGCAAUAAAUGCCAUUACUUUCAAUAAGACUGAGAAGUCAAUGUGUGAGGCGUGUCAAGUGGGCAAGACAUGCAAACUACCCUUUUCUAGUUCUGAUUUUCGAGCAAGUAGAAUUCUUGAGAGAAUACAUUGUGAUGUAUGGGGACCUGCACCUGUUGUUUCUGGUCAGGGGUUUCGUUUUUAUGUUGUAUUCAUCGACAAUUAUUCAAGAUUCUGCUGGUUCUAUCCACUUAAAUUAAAAUCAGAUGUCUUCUCAGUCUUCAAAGUCUUUCAACAACAAGUGGAAACUCAAUAUAAUCAGAAAAUCAGUGUUUUUCAGUCAGAUGGGGGUGGUGAAUUCAUCAACAAGAAUCUGAUACAACAUUUUGCUUCUACUGGCAUUAAACAUUUUGUCUCGUGUCCACACACACCGGAGCAGAACGGCAUUGCAGAGAGAAGGCAUCGUUAUAUUACAGAACUUGGACUGUCAAUGCUUUACCAGAGUCACUUGCCGCAAGAUCUCUGGGUUGAAGCUUUCUUCACAUCAGUAUUUCUCAGUAACCUUCUUCCUUCGACUGUAAACGACAAGAUGACUAGUCCGUUUGAGCUUAUCAAUGGUAAACCACCAGUCUAUACAGCUCUUCGGGUAUUUGGAUGCGCUUGCUACCCGUAUCUCAGGCCUUACUCUCAGAACAAGUUUGAUCCAAAGUCACUUGUGUGUGUGUUCCUUGGAUACAAUGAGAAAUACAAGGGUUAUAGAUGUUAUCAUCCUCCCACUGGUCGCAUCUAUAUUAAUAGACACGUUUUGUUUGAUGAAGAAAGGCUACCUUACAAAGACAUCUACAAACACCUGCUACCUGUGGCCACAACGCCAUUGUUAUCAGCAUGGCGUCUACAGCAUGGAGAGGUUUUUAACCAAGACAAGCCCGAAGAAACACACCUUUCAAAUGAAGAUGUUGGAAGAACAGUUCUAGUACCGGUCUCUCAACCUUCUCCAGCUGCUCCAUCUCCGCCUCCGGCAGCAAACACAGACCCUUCCUCUAGUGGUUCGUCUUCAGAAACAGAUUCUGAUCAAGCUCAUUCUCCUGUUGAACCGCAACUUCAAGUUCCAGCUCCAGCCAAUGCUCAUCGCAUGACUACAAGAGCAAAAGCGGGAGUUAUGAAACCAAAUCCAAGAUAUGCGCUAAUAACAGUGAAAGGGUUACCACAACUGCCAGGAACAAUAGCUGAGGCUCUCAGUCAUCCUGGAUGGAAUGGAGCUAUGGGAGAAGAAAUGGAGACAUGUGAAGAGACAAGGACCUGGAGUUUAGUUCCACCACCAUUGGAUGUUAAGCCAAUAGGCUGCAGAUGGGUACACAAGGUGAAAUUGAAAGCAGAUGGUACUUUAGAUAAACUAAGAUCAAGAGUAGUGGCUAAAGGAAAUGAACAAGAAGAGGGAGUAGACUUCUUGGAAACAUAUAGUCCAGUUGUCAGAACGGCGACUGUGAGAUUGGUCCUUCAUCUAGCUGUUAUCAAAAGAUGGGAUAUCAAGCAACUAGAUGUAAAGAAUGCCUUCCUACAUGGAGAUUUGACUGAAACUGUAUACAUGAAGCAGCCUCCUGGUUUUGAAAAUAAAGAUUAUCCAGAGUAUGUCUGUCUUCUUCACAAAGCAAUCUAUGGACUAAAACAAGCACCUAGAGCUUGGUUUGACAAAUUCAGUUCAUAUCUACUUGAAUUUGGCUUUGUGUGCAACUCAGGAGAUCCGUCGCUAUUUGUAUAUCAGAAAGGAGAAGAUGUGAUGUACCUUCUGUUAUAUGUAGAUGAUAUGCUCUUGACAGGAAGCAACAAGAGCCUGAUUGAUCAGCUGAUGCAUGCACUUCGCAAGCAGUUCAGGAUGAAGGAUAUGGGGUCACUCAGCUACUUUCUUGGUAUACAAGUUCAAUUUACAGCUACUGGCUUGUUCCUUAACCAAGCAAAGUAUGCUACUGACUUGUUACAAGCUGCGGGAAUGCUGGAUUGCUCACAGAUGCCUACACCUCUACCACUUCAGUUAGACAGAGUGCCGCAUCAGGAUGAGAUCUUCACCAAUCCUAGAUACUUCAGAAGCUUAGCGGGCAAACUACAAUACCUCACUCUAACAAGACCAGACAUUCAAUUUGCGGUGAAUCUAGUUUGUCAGAAGAUGCAUGAACCAACAAUGUCAGACUUCCACCUCAUGAAGAGAAUCCUAAGAUAUCUCAAAGGCACUUUGGAGAUGGGUAUCACGCUUGAAUCCAACACAGGUAUGCAAGUCAGAGCAUAUUGUGAUAGCGACUGGGGUGGAUGUCAAGAUACGAGAAGAUCUACAGGAGGAUUCUGCACAUUCUUGGGUUCUAAUUUGAUCUCUUGGUCAGCUAAGCGUCAAGACACAGUAGCAAGGUCCUCUACUGAAGCAGAGUAUCGCACUCUUUCUGAUACAGCAGCAGAGCUAGCUUGGAUAAGUCUGAUGCUCAAGAGUAUAGGAGUUCAACAGUUGGAUGCAGCAGAGAUCUAUUGUGAUAAUCUAUCAGCUGUCCAUCUCACAGCAAACCCGGUGUUACACAGGAAGUCAAAACACUUUGCUACACAUUACCAUUUUGCGAGAGAGAAGGUUGCAGAUGGGUCCUUGAUUGUUUACCAUAUACCAGCAGCUCAGCAAAUAGCUGACGUCUUCACCAAGUCUCUACCUCUGCACAACUUUGUUGAUCUGCGUUACAAACUCGGAGUUGACUAUCCACCCAACUCGAGUUUGCGGGGGAGUAUUAAGCCCAACGGAUCUUUACAUGAUCAUCCUACAAAGACGUUGGGCCUCACAUCAGCAAAGCCCAAAGCUUCAGCUCCAGCCGCUACAAGACAAGGACCAGCAACGGUAACAACUCCAGUCAAGGCAAAACGUACGGUUGCUUCACCACAGCCGAUGCAGCUAAGGAACAGAUAUGAGAUACUUAUGGAUCAGGAUGGAUAGCUGUCAGCGACACCUGUCAGUAGUCUAGAUCGUUCCUUUACCUUGUAUAAAAGAGAGUAGAGUCAGAUUGUAAAC
rnacentral:lncRNA from 1 species